CCAAGCUGUUACGUCCACUGAGUAUAUAAAUGUGUGAUGGUUGACCUGUGUUCUUGAUUUACUCCUUUGAAAUAUAGAGGUUAAUCCUUCCCAUAGUGGCUACUGUAAAUAUGUCUAAACCUACACUUCAUAGCCUUUCUAACAUUAUAUUUAAAACCUGAUGUAGUGAUGUCUCGCCUAAUUCUUACUAUCUAAACACUAUCUUUGAGCCCUUGAAAUAUAGAGGUUAAUCCUUCCUAUAGUGGCUACUGUAAAUAUGUCUAAACCGACACUUCAUAGCCCUUCUAACAUUAUAUUUAAAACCUGAUGUAGUAAUGUCUCGCCUAAUUCUUACUAUCUAAACACUGUCUUUGAGCCCUUGAAAUAUAGAGGUUAAUCCUUCCUAUUGUGGCUACUGUAAAUAUGUCUAAACCGACACUUCAUAGCCCUUCUAACAUUAUCUUUAAAACCUGAUGUAGUAAUGUCUCGCCUAAUUCUUACUAUCUAAACACUGUCUUUGAACCCUAACUCAGUAACCCUUUAAACUAACUCCUUGUAAUCUCUCUUAACACUAUCUUUUCUAUUCUUAAAUCCUAACUCAACGUCUUGGCUAAUUCUUAUUAAACACUAUCUGUCUUUGAACCGUAACUCAGUAACCCUUUAAACUAACUCCCUGUAGCCUCUCUCUUAACAGUAUCUAUCUUAUCUAUCCUUAAAUCCUAGCUUCGUGACC